ensembl:lncRNA PLCE1-AS2 PLCE1 antisense RNA 2
GUCUGGGUGUUGACUGAGACUGGAGGGGUCAGGUGGGGAGCUGUGGUGGGCAGGAACACCAGCUUUUCAGAGUUUACCUCAACACUGUCCAACUCAGUUGGCCUAGAGUCAGGCAACCUGGUUUUAAGCCCAUGUUCACCACCUUUGAUUGGAGGAACCCAGGCAAACUGCACUUCUCUGGGCCUCAGAAUCCUUCUAUAAAAUGAAAGGGUCUCCUCUGAUUAUUUCCAAGGCCCUCCAUCAGCUCAAACAUGCUAUCAUUUUCAUGGCAUCACAAAGAGGCGAAUGAAUGGGGCUUCCUUCCUCAUUUCCAACUGAUUAUAUUCCAGACUCAAAAGAGAAACGAAUAAAUAAAACAUAGGAUUCAGAUGUGCAGGAUAAUAUAUGAGAAGACUGUUUACAUUUGCUUCCUUUUUGAGAAAGCGCAUGUUGAAUUUUAAGCCAAAUGUAUGUGUCAAGGUUUGAAAAUAGGUUACUCAGAUAAUUUCAUUCCAUAUGUGCAGCUGCUGUUCUAAAGUAUAAACCACACUCGUCUAGUAAAACCAUCAUCUGUUCUAUAAGGAAUAUGAACAUUCAUCUGGCCCUUAUUUUUAGAGUGAGAGGUCAAAUGCACAAGAGGUGAACUGUACUUGAGUCCACCGUGCCAGAUGCAGAUGGGGGACUGAAGGCCAAAUAUAAAUCGUAAUAUCUGAAUUUGUGGGUAUUUCAAUUAGAUGGCUUAGAAGAUCAAAAGAAAUAAAUCCUGGAAUAUCAAAGUGGCAAACAGAAGCCGCAAAAGGCCAUCAUUCAUUUGGUUCAUUCAUUCAACAAAUCACUCUCACAAAAUCAAUCAUCAAAAUAAACAGGCUCUGACUCAUUUCCCAUUGCUUAUUGUAGUUAGGUUUCUUUUUCUCCCCAGGGUCAUGGGAUACAUGAACUUCAGGC